GCGUCAUUAGCUCAGCUGGUAGAGCAACUGACUCUUAAUCAGUGGGUCCUGGGUUCGAAUCCCCGAUGACGCACCA
rnacentral:tRNA from 1 species